rnacentral:rRNA from 1 species
UACGUAGGGGUCGAGCGUUGUCCGGAUUAUCGUGGCGUAAAGAGCUCGUAGGCGGUUUGUCGCGUCUGCCGUGAAAGUCCGGGGCUCAACUCCGGAUCUGCGGUGGGUACGGGCAGACUAGAGUGAUGUAGGGGAGACUGGAAUUCCUGGUGUAGCGGUGAAAUGCGCAGAUAUCAGGAGGAACACCGAUGGCGAAGGCAGGUCUCUGGGCAUUAACUGACGCUGAGGAGCGAAAGCAUGGGGAGCGAACAGG